UUUAUUCUCAGUGACAUAAACUGGUCAUAAAAUGUCAGUCUUACUGCUUUUAUUUACUAACAUCAGCUGUGUGGAAUAUGGAUAUAUUUGUAAUUUAUAUUUGCAAUCCCCAAUCUGUUGCUUGAAUUUACUUUUCACAAACAAAUUGCAUGUAUAUUACAUGUACUACAUAUCAUGUAUAGUGUUAAGCCAUUACUAAUGACAAAUAAUAAGAAUUUGUCAAAGUAACGAACUAAAUAUACCCAAAUCAAUGAGAUUGAGACAUUAAAUAUUUUGACACUCUACUGUACUGUGAUGCACAAGCCUACCGGUACCUGUGUAUUGUUGUUACCAGUAAUGAAAUCUAUAGACAAAGUGCCAGAAGUGAAAUCACUGUCAACUAUAACAGUCCACAAUUAUGUCUUUCUGCUUCUAACAUAAACCAAAAUCAGAUCGUAUAAUGUAAAUAUUUGCAGAGUUGUUGCCUUUCUCAGUGAGAUAAAUAAAAAUAAGAUGCAUUUU
rnacentral:misc_RNA from 1 species